rnacentral:rRNA from 1 species
UUCUACGGGAGGCAGCAGUGGGGAAUCUUGGACAAUGGGGGCAACCCUGAUCCAGCCAUGCCGCGUGAGUGAAGAAGGCCCUAGGGUCGUAAAGCUCUUUCGCCUGUGAAGAUAAUGACGGUAGCGGGUAAAGAAACCCCGGCUAACUCCGUGCCAGCAGCCGCGGUAAUACGGAGGGGGUUAGCGUUGUUCGGAAUUACUGGGCGUAAAGCGCGCGUAGGCGGAUUAGUCAGUCAGGGGUGAAAUCCCGGGGCUCAACCCCGGAACUGCCUUUGAUACUGCUAGUCUUGAGUUCGAGAGAGGUGAGUGGAAUUCCGAGUGUAGAGGUGAAAUUCGUAGAUAUUCGGAGGAACACCAGUGGCGAAGGCGGCUCACUGGCUCGAUACUGACGCUGAGGUGCGAAAGUGUGGGGAGCAAACAGGAUUAGAUACCCUGGUAGUCCACACCGUAAACGAUGAAUGCCAGACGUCGGGCAGCAUGCUGUUCGGUGUCACACCUAACGGAUUAAGCAUUCCGCCUGGGGAGUACGGUCGCAAGAUUAAAACUCAAAUGAAUUGACGG